GAUGAACGCUGGCGGCGUGCCUAAUACAUGCAAGUCGAACGAAGAUCUAGCUUGCUAGAUCUUAGUGGCGAACGGGUGAGUAAUACAUAAAUAAUCUGCCCAUAUGACUGGGAUAACUAUUGGAAACGAUAGCUAAUACCGGAUAGGUUGAUCGGAGGCAUCUCUGAUGAAUUAAAGUAGGAUUUCUACACAAAUGGAUGAGUUUAUGGCGCAUUAGUUAGUUGGUGGGGUAACGGCCUACCAAGACGAUGAUGCGUAGCCGACCUGCGAGGGUGACCGGACACACUGGGACGGAGACACGGCCCAGACUCCUACGGGAGGCAGCAGUAGGGAAUUUUCGGCAAUGGGCGCAAGCCUGACCGAGCAACGCCGCGUGAGUGAUUAAGGCCUUCGGGUUGUAAAGCUCUGUUGUAAGGGAAGAACAUUCAGGAUAGGAAAUGAUCUUGAACUGACGGUACCUUACCAGAAAGCCACGGCUAACUACGUGCCAGCCGCCGCAGUAA
rnacentral:rRNA from 1 species